UCCUGUGCCACAUAACUUCAUUUUCCAAAUUACUAUGCGUUUCUUGUAGAAAAUGUAUGUCACUUCCCUUUCCCCUAAUUAACUCAUACACCAUGGCUCUUUUUUUACCAUCUCUUGCCCCAUUUACGUUUAAAGAAGAAAUCUUAAAACUGCUCAUGGAUGAAAAAAAUAUACAGAGGAAGAUACAGCCACCACAUCUCUUUACAGAGGUAAAACUGCAACUGAACUCUUUCAUUUUCUUUAGAAUUUACAUCACUUAUCACUCUCGUGACCACUUUCUUGAGUCUAGCAAUUUCAGGGCUUUUCAAACUUCCCCCUGUAAUUCUUGACAUCAGAAACUUUGCUGAUUCAAUAAACAAUUCACGUUCAGGGAAAAGAUCAGUUACAUUGUAAUCCUGCAUAUAUUUCUUCCCUUUUGUCAACUUCAGAAAUUGACGUAUCUUCUCGAUCCCAUACCUCCCUUCCACCCCAUUUAUCUCACUGUAUUGUUGUGACGCGUCAGAUGACUCACUCUCACUAUCCUCCCCAGAAGAAAACUCCACCAUCUCUACAACUUGUUCAUCUUCAACUGAUUUAUCAAUCUCUACAUUUCUCUUAGAAUUAGACCCUUCACCACCCCUUAAAUUCUUCCUUUUACUCCUCGGUAUUUUGAAAACAUCCGCUUCCUUUUCCGUUAUUUCAAUCUCCUCUUGACCUCCAAUUUCAUUUUCCAGCACCACCUCAGCGACGGCAGUCGCAAUCUCACCUACUGUUUCCCCUCCCUCUUUGUUCUGAUCUACCACAAUUGCCCCCACAACUGCCCACCUUCUCCCUUCCCCUGCACCCUUAGUAUGUUCAUCCCUUCGCGGUGGUGCGUUAGUUGCACCCGCACUAGAGCUACUACCAGGCUCAGCGCGCUCAUUCUCGGGACAACUACGCACCAAAUGCCCCUCUCUUCCACAGCCAAAGCAUUUCAUUGAUUCAGUAGAUGCAUAGAAGACAUAAUCAAAUCCAUCAAUCUUAAAGCUGAACGCUAAAUUCAAUUCAUCUCCGUCCUUUUUUAAAAUCAUAUGCACUUGUCUCCUAUGAGACACGACAUGUUUCAACAACGGAGAUUUGCAUCCAAAAAGAACCUUCUUUAUUGUAGAUACGAUUUGACCAUGGUGAGAACUCUCGCUCCAACACUUCAUCUCUAACAAAUGGUGGCACGUGAGAGGGCAUAACUUUCUUCGCCGGAUUCAUAAGCGGAAAUACCGGCGUCUGUGUCUCCCGCAACACCACACCCCUCUCAACUAUCUUAUUCACCUUUUCAAUUGAAUCUAAGAAUAUCACUACAGCGCUAUUCAUCCUUGAGGCUGAUUUGAUGCUAUCAUACCCAAUGAUAGCACCCACAGCCAAGCUACAUUCUUCCACUGAACACCCGGCCGCAGCAGGAAUCUUUACUCCAUGCCUCCGACUAAGUUUUUCAAACUCUACACUUCCGUGAGUGGCCAUUGCAACCAGCCCCACCCGCUGGUUGUGCCCUCGCGAAAAACCAACCUCAAAGAUCCCACCACCCCUAUACGUGCUUAGUGAUAGUUAAACAAGAUACCCUUAAAACAACUAAACAAUAUAUAUAUAUAUACAUACCAAAACCCAAUAGAGUGAAAAGAAAUUCCAUUCGCUCUCACAAUCACUCCUGCUUGACGACUCACUCCCAGCAUGCACUCCGACGAGAGAGAGAGAGAGAGAGAGACAAUGAGAGAGAGGAGACAGAGUGAGGGACACAGAGUGAGAGAGAGGAGAGAAAGACAGAGAGGAGAGAGAGAGAGGCAGAGAGGAGAGACAGUCAGAGAGAGAGAGAGAGAGAGAGGAGAGACAGUGAGGGACACGGAGUGAGAGAGAGAGGAGAAACAGUGAGGGACACGGAGUGAGAGAGAGAGAAAGACAAAGAGAGAGAGACAGAGAGGAGAGAGACAGAGAGAGAAAGAGGAGAGAAAGACAAAGAGAGAGAGAGACACAGAGAGGAGAGAAAGACAAAGAGAGAGAGAGGAGAGACAGUCAGAGAGAGAGAGACAGUCAGAGGGGGAGAGGAGAGAAAGACAGAGAGGAGAGACAGUGAGAGAGAGGAGAGAAAGACAAAGAGAGAGAGAGACCGUAAGAGACAGAGAGAGGGGAGACAGAGAAAGAAAGACUCAGGUUGGCAAUGAAUUUGGUUGCUGUCAACUUGUCCUUAAUGUUCCAUGAGGAGGAGAUGUGUACUAUAAAUAUUAUAAUAUUCUAUUUCAUGAGGAGGUGUGUACUAUAAAUAUUAUAAUAUUCUAUUUCAUGAGGAGGUGUGUACUAUAAAUAUUAUAAUAUUCUAUUUCAUGAGGAGGUGUGUACUAUAAAUAUUAUAAUAUUCUAUUUCAUGAGGAGGUGUGUACUAUAAAUAUUAUAAUAUUCUAUUUCAUGAGGAGGUGUGUACUAUAAAUAUUAUAAUAUUCUAUUUCAUGAGGAGGUGUGUACUAUAAAUAUUAUAAUAUUCUAUUUCAUGAGGAGGUGUGUACUAUAAAUAUUAUAAUAUUCUAUUUCAUGAGGAGGUGUGUACUAUAAAUAUUAUAAUAUUCCAUGAGGAGGAGGUGUGUACUAUAAAUAUUAUAAUAUUCCAUGAGGAGGAGGUGUGUACUAUAAAUAUUAUAAUAUUCCAUGAGGAGGUGUGUACUAUAAAUAUUAUAAUAUUCCAUGAGGAGGAGGUGUGUACUAUAAAUAUUAUAAUAUUCCAUGAGGAGGUGUGUACUAUAAAUAUUAUAAUAUUAUAAUAUUCCAUGAGGAGGAGGUGUGUACUAUAAAUAUUAUAAUAUUCCAUGAGGAGGAGGUGUGUACUAUAAAUAUUAUAAUAUUCCAUGAGGAGGUGUGUACUAUAAAUAUUAUAAUAUUCCAUGAGGAGGAGGUGUGUACUAUAAAUAUUAUAAUAUUCCAUGAGGAGGAGGUGUGUACUAUAAAUAUUAUAAUAUUCCAUGAGGAGGAGGUGUGUACUAUAAAUAUUAUAAUAUUCUAUUUCAUGAGGAGGAGGUGUGUACUAUAAAUAUUAUAAUAUUCUAUUUCAUGAGGAGGUGUGUACUAUAAAUAUUAUAAUAUUCCAUGAGGAGGAGGUGUGUACUAUAAAUAUUAUAAUAUUCCAUGAGGAGGAGGUGUGUACUAUAAAUAUUGACUUAACAAAUACAUACUUAUUUCCCUCAUUAAAAUGAGGGAUCAAUUAAAUCUAUUUAUAACAUU